UAACCUCUGGCGAAAAUCGUAAAUGUUA
ncrna:unclassified sequences L19-Flavobacteria ribosomal protein leader